GACGAACGCUGGCGGCGUGCUUAAUACAUGCAAGUCGAACGGAAAGGCCCUGCGUUUGUGGCGUGCUCGUUUGGCGAACGGGGGAGUAACACGUGAGUAACCUGCCCUUGACUUUGGGAUAACUUCAGGAAACUGGGUCUAAUACCGGAUAGGAUCUCCUGCUGCAUGGUGGGGGUUGGAAAGAUUCGGCGGUUGUGGAUGGACUCGCGGCUUAUCAGCUGGUUGGUCGGGUAGUGGCUUACCAAGGCUUUGACGGCUAGCCGGCCUUAGAGGCUGACCGGCCACCUUGGGCCUGAGAUACGGCCCAGACUCCUACGGGAGGCAGCGGUGGGGAAUAUUGCACAAUGGGCGGACGCCUGAUGCAGAAAUGCCGCGUGCGGGAUGACGGCCUUCGGGUUGUAAACAGAUUUCGCCUGUGCCGAAGCGUGAGUGACGGUAAUGGGUAAAGAAGCACCGGCUAACUACGUG
rnacentral:rRNA from 1 species